CUGUAUAAUUAACUAAACUUUUGAACCAGAGUUAUUUUUAGCAAAGCCGUAUGUUUUGAUGUUAUUUGUUAAGCAGAAAGAAAAAAGUUUAAAGUUGCCUGGAUGGCGCAACACAAAAUCCAAAUGAGGCUUUCAACCAGAUAAUCUGGAAAAAGUGUCCAAAAAAUAUUUUUGUUACUAAAAAGCUCUUGCCUGGAAGUUUUAUGAUCCAAGGAUCGUGGAAGAAGGACGUAUCAAGAGUAAAGAACACGAUUAAAAAUUCAACUCCAAAGCAAAAAAGGGCUAGAAGGAAAAGGAGAUGUAUCAGGAAGGGUUAUAUUGAUAAGGAGAAAGAAAAAGAGGGAGUAGACUCUUAUAUUACAGGAAAUUUUUAAUUAAUAAAUUGUUUUUAAACUUUGAAGCUUGAUUUCUCAAUUGUUUGUUUUUGCCUGACUGCAAUAAGCGAAUCAUUCAUAUCUUUUUAACCAGAUAUGCAAUUGAGUUCAAAUUUUCAGGGUUGUUUCUUUAUAGAUAGAACUGCAAUAGCUUACUAGAACUAAUCUUAAGCUUGUUUCCAUUUGAAUAUAUUCAUAUUUUACCUUUUUUUUUUGUAUCAAUAAUUUCCGUUAAAAUUGAAAAAGCUGCCAUUUUAAAAAUAAUAAUUAUUUUUAGUUUUUCUAGUAAGCUUUUGUUUAAUACACUAUAAUCUAUCAGUGUUGUAAGUUUUGGCUUAUAAUGUCAUAAAGAGGCUGAGAAAAUGUUGUUUUCUUUUUUCAUUGAUUUUUUUGCAUUUUAUGCUGAUUCAGCAAAAAAAAAAAGGAAAUUAUUU
rnacentral:lncRNA from 1 species